GGUACCUUUUCUUGGCUGAUCCCUUUCGCUGUAUGGCGUACUCGUUUGGGUUGGGCGUUGGCUAAGAUUGCUCGGAGCGUGGAUUAACUCCAGUCUCCUAUUAGGUAAUCCCUAAGCUUAGAUGGUUUGGAGCUGCGAGGGACUCGGAGAUGGCCACACUACUAUUUCUUUUAAUUGUAAUAAGUAGCCGAUUUAUUUCUUUAUAAGUUUUAUCUUAUUAAUAUUAUUAUUUGGUUUUCGGUUGUAAUAAGGCCAUUUUAAUUAUUUUUCAGGGAUUAUUUUAUCUUA